rnacentral:rRNA from 1 species
GGGGAAUCUUCCGCAAUGGGCGAAAGCCUGACGCAGCAACGCCGCGUGCGGGAAGAAGGCUUUCGGGCUGUAAACCGCUUUCAGCAGGAACGAAAAUGACGGUACUUGAGGAAUAAGCCACGGCUAAUUCCGUGCCAGCAGCCGCGGUAAUACAGGAGUGGCAAGCGUUAUCCGGAAUUAUUGGGCGUAAAGCGUCCGCAGGCGGUCUUGUAAGUCUGUCGUUAAAGCGUGGAGCUUAACUCCAUUUAAGCGAUGGAAACUGCGGGACUAGAGUGUGGUAGGGGCAGAGGGAAUUCCCGGUGUAGCGGUGAAAUGCGUAGAUAUCGGGAAGAACACCAGUGGCGAAGGCGCUCUGCUGGGCCAUAACUGACGCUCAUGGACGAAAGCCAGGGGAGCGAAAGGGAUUAGAUACCCCUGUAGUC